GGCGGCGUGCCUAAUACAUGCAAGUAGAACGCUGAAGAGAGGAGCUUGCUCUUCUUGGAUGAGUUGCGAACGGGUGAGUAACGCGUAGGUAACCUGCCUGGUAGCGGGGGAUAACUAUUGGAAACGAUAGCUAAUACCGCAUAAAAUUGAUUAUUGCAUGAUAAUUAAUUGAAAGAUGCAAUUGCAUCACUACCAGAUGGACCUGCGUUGUAUUAGCUAGUUGGUGAGGUAACGGCUCACCAAGGCGACGAUACAUAGCCGACCUGAGAGGGUGAUCGGCCACACUGGGACUGAGACACGGCCCAGACUCCUACGGGAGGCAGCAGUAGGGAAUCUUCGGCAAUGGGGGGAACCCUGACCGAGCAACGCCGCGUGAGUGAAGAAGGUUUUCGGAUCGUAAAGCUCUGUUGUAAGAGAAGAACGGGUGUGAGAGUGGAAAGUUCACACUGUGACGGUAUCUUACCAGAAAGGGACGGCUAACUACGUGCCAGCAGCCGCGGUAAUACGUAGGUCCCGAGCGUUGUCCGGAUUUAUUGGGCGUAAAGCGAGCGCAGGCGGUUAGAUAAGUCUGAAGUUAAAGGCUGUGGCUUAACCAUAGUAUGCUUUGGAAACUGUUUAACUUGAGUGCAGAAGGGGAGAGUGGAAUUCCAUGUGUAGCGGUGAAAUGCGUAGAUAUAUGGAGGAACACCGGUGGCGAAAGCGGCUCUCUGGUCUGUAACUGACGCUGAGGCUCGAAAGUGUGGGGAGCAAACAGGAUUAGAUACCCUGGUAGUCCACGCCGUAAACGAUGAGUGCUAGGUGUUAGGCCCUUUCCGGGGCUUAGUGCCGCAGCUAACGCAUUAAGCACUCCGCCUGGGGAGUACGACCGCAAGGUUGAAACUCAAAGGAAUUGACGGGGGCCCGCACAAGCGGUGGAGCAUGUGGUUUAAUUCGAAGCAACGCGAAGAACCUUACCAGGUCUUGACAUCCCUCUGACCGCUCUAGAGAUAGAGUUUUCCUUCGGGACAGAGGUGACAGGUGGUGCAUGGUUGUCGUCAGCUCGUGUCGUGAGAUGUUGGGUUAAGUCCCGCAACGAGCGCAACCCCUAUUGUUAGUUGCCAUCAUUGAGUUGGGCACUCUAGCGAGACUGCCGGUAAUAAACCGGAGGAAGGUGGGGAUGACGUCAAAUCAUCAUGCCCCUUAUGACCUGGGCUACACACGUGCUACAAUGGCUGGUACAACGAGUCGCAAGCCGGUGACGGCAAGCUAAUCUCUGAAAGCCAGUCUCAGUUCGGAUUGUAGGCUGCAACUCGCCUACAUGAAGUCGGAAUCGCUAGUAAUCGCGGAUCAGCACGCCGCGGUGAAUACGUUCCCGGGCCUUGCACACACCGCCCGUC
rnacentral:rRNA from 1 species